rnacentral:lncRNA from 1 species
GUUUGAUUGCUGGAAAAGGUGGACUGCUAGAAAAAGAAAACCAGUGCGCCGCACAGCAGUUGGGAAUCGAAGCCCUUCUUUACCAGAACCCCUGCCAUAUAYGUACUGUCACUCACCUUCCAGACACUCAGUACAACCAUUCAAUCUAUUGAAUCAAGAGACUGUUUGAUCUUAUCUGCAUCUGUGAGCUGACUGUCAACCUGCUUAGGCUGCAUAUUAAAUCAUCUAUAGUAGCUGUAUCAAGCUGGGAUGAUCUGUUAAUUCUAAAUUUAUUAACCCUUGGAGUGCAGUCAUCAUGUUUAAUCUAGUGUAGCCAGCAUUUAUGUUACAAGACUAAAUCCUUCCUUAAGAUACGGCUGUGCUGCAGGUUAAAGAAUCAGUAAUGUAUAGGAGAUGAUAAUUGGCAAGACCUCACUUUGAUCUUGGAAAGCCAGCUGACAGCAUCACCCGUCCAAACAUGUAUGUGUACGCUCGCACCACACGCGAGUGUCCAGCACGUGUGGUGUGUGUGUGCACGUGUGUAUGCACCUAAUCACGUCCCCUCAGGGAAGGAGUUCUGCCUGAGACGAUUGCAAAGAAAAAGAAAGGCCUCAAAAAUGCCUUAGCUCCAUGCGUCCACGAAGCAGGACUUAAAAAAAGAUCAAAAAUCAGUCAAAGUCGUCGCACACCACCAUGCUACGCGCAUCGAGUUACUGGAGGCAGAGUCCUGCGAYGACCAAGCAACAAACCUCUCCUUCAAGGAUUUAAAGUUUGAUCCUGCUUCGCACAUGACGCUCUGGAAACUCUCCAUGACAGGGAGCCAGCCUGAGAUCUGUGCACACCUUAAGACGUCAAAAUGGGGGUAAAGUGCUGUACUGAACUUGUUCUGGUCCUCUGAGUAGGAGCAGACCAGGGGAGGGUUCAUAUCAGCCAGCUUUUAUGUACCACUUCUUAUCACUAGUGAGAAGCAGAAAUCAUCACAAGAGAAAUUCUUCUUCUUUGUCCUCCCUGCAACCUCCUCUUUUUUUUAUAGAGAAAAACCGCGAGGCCACCGGGGAACCGAACGGGGCUCGGUCCUUUGGUACGCAGUGGACCGCUUUGGCACCAGCGGAGGUUCACCCCCUCGGGGCCUGCAAGCUCCRUGACCUCCGCGAGCGCUGCGGGGGCCAUGGGUUCUCCCUGCAGCGUGAGGCGCGGGGAGGCCCGGGCCUCUCCUMGGAGAGCACCGGCCACCGCCUGUGCGGGCAGCGGGACUCCCUGGGAACUCCCAGGGAAGCCACCAGUCCCGACAACUGCCUCCCCCUGGGGCUUGGUUCACCCCACGAACGCAGCUCAGCUAACCUGCCCCAACGCUCUGCUCCUACCAGCUACGGAUGGGAGGGGAGAGCAUUUCUGGAGCGCGUGAAGCCACUCGCGCCAAACAGCCAGGCUCAGGCACGCCGAGGAUGCGAACUGGAAGAGCUUGACUGGGACCGAGUUUCACAAGGAGCACGCGGGAGGGAGGAGCUGUGA